AGCAAUCUGCCCAUAUCUGGGGGAUAACAGUUGGAAACGACUGAUAAUACCGCAUAACAUGGUUUGAAGGCAUCUUCUUUCCAUCAAAGAUUUAUCGGAUAUGGAUGAGCUCGCGUCUGAUUAGCUUGUUGGUGAGGUAACGGCUCACCAAGGCGACGAUCAGUAGCCGACCUGAGAGGGUGAUCGGCCACAUUGGAACUGAGACACGGUCCAAACUCCUACGGGAGGCAGCAG
rnacentral:rRNA from 1 species